rnacentral:rRNA from 1 species
CCUACGGGUGGCAGCAGUGAGGAAUAUUGGUCAAUGGGCGCGAGCCUGAACCAGCCAAGUAGCGUGAAGGAUGACUGCCCUACGGGUUGUAAACUUCUUUUAUAAAGGAAUAAAGUGCGGCACGUGUGCCUUUUUGUAUGUACUUUAUGAAUAAGGAUCGGCUAACUCCGUGCCAGCAGCCGCGGUAAUACGGAGGAUCCGAGCGUUAUCCGGAUUUAUUGGGUUUAAAGGGAGCGUAGAUGGGUUGUUAAGUGUGUUGUGAAAUUUUGCGGCUCAACCGUAAAAUUGCAAUUGAUACUGGCAGUCGUGAGUGCAGGUGAGGUAGGCGGAAUUCGUGGUGUAGCGGUGAAAUGCUUAGAUAUCACGAAGAACUCCGAUUGCGAAGGCAGCUUACUAAACUGCCACUGACAUUGAUGCUCGAAAGUGUGGGUAUCGAACAGGAUUAGAUACCCCGGUAGUC